UAGAGGUUAUAAUAACGCUAUCUAUUUAAAUAACUGGUCAGGUCUGGAAAGAAGCAGCCAAAUUAAAUAAUAUAGGUGUUAUUAGAUCUCUAGCA
rnacentral:SRP_RNA from 1 species